AGUCGAGGGGCAGCACAAAGGUAGCAAUACUUUGGUGGCGACCGGCGCACGGGUGAGUAACACGUAUGCAACCUACCUGUAAGCGGGGAAUAACCCGGAGAAAUUCGGACUAAUACCGCAUAAUACCGCGAAUCUGCAUGGAUUUGCGUUUAAACAUUUAUGGCUUACAGAUGGGCAUGCGUAUGAUUAGCUAGUUGGUGAGGUAACGGCUCACCAAGGCAACGAUCAUUAGGGGUUCUGAGAGGAAGGUCCCCCACACUGGUACUGAGACACGGACCAGACUCCUACGGGAGGCAGCAGUGAGGAAUAUUGGUCAAUGGGCGAGAGCCUGAACCAGCCAAGUCGCGUGAAGGAAGAAGGUUCUAUGGAUUGUAAACUUCUUUUGUAAGGGAAUAAAAUGCAGUACGUGUACUGUUUUGUAUGUACUUUACGAAUAAGGAUCGGCUAACUCCGUGCCAGCAGCCGCGGUAAUACGGAGGAUCCAAGCGUUAUCCGGAUUUAUUGGGUUUAAAGGGUGCGUAGGCGGACCUUUAAGUCAGUGGUGAAAGUUUGCAGCUUAACUGUAAAAUUGCCAUUGAAACUGAGGGUCUUGAGUGUAAAUGAGGUAGGCGGAAUGUGUUGUGUAGCGGUGAAAUGCUUAGAUAUAACACAGAACACCAAUUGCGAAGGCAGCUUACUAGGAUACAACUGACGCUGAGCACGAAAGCGUGGGGAUCAAACAGGAUUAGAUACCCUGGUAGUCCACGCAGUAAACGAUGAAUACUAACUGUAUGCGAUAUACUGUAUGUGGUAAAGCGAAAGCGUUAAGUAUUCCACCUGGGGAGUACGUUCGCAAGAUGAAACUCA
rnacentral:rRNA from 1 species